AUAAAAGUUUGGUGGGGGAUGGAAUGGAUAAAACAAGAUGGGCAAAAAAUACUGAUAAUUGUUGAAGCAAAGUAAGGGAUACAUGGGAAUGCAUGUAUUGUUUAGGGAUAUAUUCAAAUUGUUGUCCUGCUAAUAGUUAAGACCACACCCUAUCACAUUUUUUACUUUUAUUAUCAUCUUCUCACACACUACAUGAUUUACUGUGUUUUUUCUGUCCCUCUCGAUUAGAAUAUAAAGUCCAUAGGGACAGGGCUUCUGUUCAGAGCUCUGGCUCGCAAGCAUUAGAAGGGCAAUGUGCACCUGUGAGCACACAGUAGGUAUUUGUGACAGGAUUAUUUGAGAUGCUCCACCUCUCAGGGCCCAGGAGAAGGGGCCACUUGCAUCAGGUGGGCUAGUCCUGGCCCUAAUGGGCAGGUGGGAUCAGAAUGGGAGGAGAGGAGAGCUGUUAGCAGAGCAGAAGGAGGAGGUGUGCAGGCAGGCCAGAAAGAAGCCUGGGAAGGGCAGGAUUUUGAAAAGAGGUUGUUGAGAGUGUUAAAGGUGGGGGAUCCCCAGGGAACGAGCACCCACAAAUGGCCACCGGACUGAAUCACUAGAAGCCCACCUGAGAAAGUCACCCAGGGAAAGUGACAAUGGCAAUAAAAGACUAAGGUGGGAACGGGGGAAGGGACUGCAUAGAUGUCGAAGGCAGAGACUGCACGUUUGAAACCUGACUUACAAGAGACAAAGCAGAGGCAAUCCAGCGAGCAGCCAAGCUGAGCGCAGGACACAGAAUGACCCAGAGAAACCCAGAGCCCCGGGUUUCCCAGCAGCGACAGCACUUAAGAACAACAUUACAGCAGAAAACACGGCGUAUCCCAAUCUUUGGUUUCUGCAUCCCAGAUCUACAGGAGACUGCUACUGGGAGAGGCAACCAGCUACUGGGAGAGGCCCAUUGUCAGGUGGAAAGAGCACUUGUUCUGGGUUUACUGUGACCUGGGUUCAAAUCCUUCCUUUACUUCACCUUUAUAUGCAAUGUUAGUUCAUACUUGGGAGGCUCUUCCUGAAGUUUAACUUAAAGCCACCCUUCUACAGAUCGACAGUGGGAGUGGGGGAGAACCAACAUGGAUAUGAGUUAGGGCUUCACGGAAGGUGCCCUGAGAAGUGUCCUAAGAGAAAGGCAGGGCCUUGCACCCCACCCCACAACCGUGAAGAGGAGUUGGCAUGAGGAUCCUACAGGAUCCAGCCGGGGAUGGAGGCAAUGUGAUGGACGAACAGGAAUGGGAAAUGGAAAAACAUAUUGGUGGGAAGGAGGAGAGAGCGAGCUUGGAGGUAGCGGGCCAACCUGGGUUGGAGGCCUGGACUGGCUUAAUAGUUAUGUAAUAUUUCUGUGUCUCAGUUGCCCCAUCUAUAAAAUGGGGGUAAUAAAGCCCCUAAGACUUUCAUGAGCUAAAAUACACAGAGCAGCUUUUUAAAUGGCCUGGCACAUACAGAGAAAGACAGAUACCAUAUGUUUUCACUCUUAUGUGGAUCCUGAGAAACUUAACAGGAACCCAUG